GAGCACGUAGGUGGGUUUGUAAGUCAGAUGUGAAAGCCUUCUGUUCAACGGAAGAAUUGCAUCUGAAACUGCGAGUCUUGAGUGUAGGAGGGGAGAAUGGAACUUCUGGUGGAGCGGCGAAAUGCGUAGAUAUCAGAAGGAACUCCGGCGGCGAAGGCGAUUCUCUGGCCUAUUACUGACACUCAGUGUGCGAAAGCUAGGGGAGCAAACGGGAUUAGAUACCCCGGUAGUCCUAGCCGUAAACGAUGGGCACUAAGUAGAGGGGUUUU
rnacentral:rRNA from 1 species